rnacentral:rRNA from 1 species
UCCGGAAGCAUCAGAGAUGGUGCCCCCCUUGUGGUCGGUAUACAGGUGGUGCAUGGCUGUCGUCAGCUCGUGUCGUGAGAUGUUGGGUUAAGUCCCGCAACGAGCGCAACCCUUGUUCUGUGUUGCCAGCAUGCCCUUCGGGGUGAUGGGGACUCACAGGAGACUGCCGGGGUCAACUCGGAGGAAGGUGGGGACGACGUCAAGUCAUCAUGCCCCUUAUGUCUUGGGCUGCACACGUGCUACAAUGGCCGGUACAAAGAGCUGCGAAGCCGCGAGGCGGAGCGAAUCUCAAAAAGCCGGUCUCAGUUCGGAUUGGGGUCUGCAACUCGACCCCAUGAAGUCGGAGUUGCUAGUAAUCGCAGAUCAGCAUUGCUGCGGUGAAUACGUUCCCGGGCCUUGUACACACCGA